UUUCAUGGAGACAACAAAGCAGCAGGAGCCACUUGUGGCUGUGACAUCAGGAACUUGAAACUGUGAGCUCUCAUCUCCAGGCCAGGAAGCCCCACAGAGACCCACUUCCUCCAGCAAGAUCUGAUCCCUCAAGGUUCCACAGCCUCCCUGAAACAGCAGCACCACCUGAAGAGUGGGUGUUUAGACCUGGGAGUCACAUUAUAAUAGUCACAGAAAAAUGCUGGGCGAGAGGCACAAGCACAUUUGCCUAUAGAAGCAUUUCCCUAUGACAGUUGUCCCCAUUUCCCUUCUUACACAUGGGACUGCACUGAGACAGGAGUGUCAUUAAUGCCAAACAACCUCAUCAUUUAGAAGGUCAGCACAAAAUCAGGUUGUCCCAGCUACAAGAGGAGGACAAGAAAAUAAAGAUCACCUAGUUCCUGACAAAGGAAGCAGUCACCCUUCCAGGCACCUCUUGAGAACCUUGUCACAUCCUUUACCAUUUAACAGCAGGAUAUUAUCCAAAGGUCAAAAAGUAUCUCCACAUGUGAGACUGCAUUGCACAGAUUCUCCAAGUUUAGUUCUUG
rnacentral:lncRNA from 1 species